GCCCGGUUAGGCAAAUGGUUAAGCUGCCAUCCUGAUACGGUGGAGAUUGCAGGUUCAAGUCCUGCACCGGGUACAA
rnacentral:tRNA from 2 species